GCGUUGUUCGGAUUUACUGGGCGUAAAGGGCGCGUAGGCGGCCAGUGCAAGUCAGUUGUGAAAUCUCCGAGCUUAACUCGGAAAGGUCAACUGAUACUGCUCGGCUAGAGUGCGGAAGGGGCAACUGGAAUUCUUGGUGUAGCGGUGAAAUGCGUAGAUAUCAAGAGGAACACCUGCGGCGAAGGCGGGUUGCUGGGCCGACACUGACGCUGAGGCGCGAAAGCUA
rnacentral:rRNA from 1 species